rnacentral:misc_RNA from 1 species
GAUGAAGAACGCAGCGAAAUGCGAUAAGUAGUGUGAAUUGCAGAAUUCAGUGAAUCAUCGAAUCUUUGAACGCACAUUGCGCCCCCUGGUAUUCCGGGGGGCAUGCCUGUCCGAGCGUCAUUGCUGCCCUCAAGCACGGCUUGUGUGUUGGGCCUCUGUCCUCCUCCCGGGGGACGGGCCCGAAAGGCAGCGGCGGCACCGCGUCCGGUCCUCGAGCGUAUGGGGCUUCGUCACCCGCUCUUGUAGGCCCGGCCGGCGCUUGCCGACACAUCAAUCUUUUUUCCAGGUUGACCUCGGAUCAGGUAGGGAUACCCGCUGAACUUAAGCAUAUCAAUAAGCGGAGGA